GAGCUAUGACGAGUCUUGUGUCAACUGUGAUGGCUGGGUCUGUCACCAUCGUCUGAAUCUUCCGACGAGAAGUGGCACUUCUGAGCUC